rnacentral:tRNA from 1 species
GCGCCUAUAGCUCAAUUGGAUAGAGCAUCUGCCUUCGGAGCAGAGGGUUGGGGGUUCGAGUCCUCCUAGGCGCG